UAGCUUGGAUUCACUACCGAUCCUUGGAUCGCAUUGCCUUCUCCACCCGAGCGGUUUCCACUGCGCUAGUUACCAUUGGUUCUUUCUUCACUCAUCUCACUUAUCUGCUUUUGUUGAAUUGCUUGCAGAGAUGAAACUGCCGGCACAGAAAUUGGCUCCGGCUUUGCCUUGGUAGCAGCUUUACGGUAGCUUUGGCCAUGAAUUUCUGUCUGCAAGUAUCUCUUCCGUGGCUCAACUGAGGAGUCUCCAAAUCUAGGACUUUGACGCGAGACGAGCAUCUCGAUGUCGGAUUGGACCGGAUACGAUACUCUCAUUGG